UAAAGAAGACACAGGUCUGCUCUCCUGGAGCUGGGUGAGUUUAUAGAACUUCUUUGCUGUGGAUGAAGAUUGAUAAGGCGACCUUCUCCAUGUCCCAGCCUAUUUGCAGUAUCUGAGCAUGUGUGGUUGACAACUUCUUGAUGACAAGGGAUCACGUCUGACACACACAGGGAGACCCACGCAUGCGCCAAAGAUCUUAUGAUUCCUCAAAGGUA